rnacentral:tRNA from 1 species
GGUUAUGGCUCAGCGGUAGAGUGCUUGUCUAGCAUGUGCAAGUUCCUGGGUUCAAUCCUCAGCACCA